CUUCUUUGUCGAUUGGAGAGACUACCGAUCGUGUUGUGGGUGUAUUCGCGAGGACGCCCUUUUUCCUAUAUCCUUCCUGGUGGAUUCAACUCUUUUGCAGAUGGAAUAAUGCCUGGCCGGAUUUCCCAGGCUUAAAGAUUUUACACCUGAGCCAACCAUCAUCGACAACAAGACGAGCAAGUUUUGCUUGUGCUGGACCUGUCAUCAUCAAUUCAAUCUCUCCGUCAUCGAUUGGAUUACCAACAUCUUCUUUGAUUGGCGAAAACUACCAGCCGAAUGACGGAUCUCUUCUUAUUUCCCCCUUUCUUUUAAAUGUCCUCGUGUACACCCAUGUGAGUGUGGGUGUAUUCACGAGGACUACCUUUUUUUUCCCUAUCCCGACUGGCGGAUUCAACUUUUUC